GACGAACGCUGGCGGCGUGCUUAACACAUGCAAGUCGAACGAUGAAGCCCAGCUUGCUGGGUGGAAGAGUGGCGAACGGGUGAGUAACACGUGAGCAACCUGCCCUUCACUCUGGGAUAAGCACUGGAAACGGUGUCUAAUACUGGAUAUGCACAAUGGCCGCAUGGUCUGUUGUGGGAAAGAUUUAUCGGUGAAGGAUGGGCUCGCGGCCUAUCAGCUUGUUGGUGAGGUAGUGGCUCACCAAGGCGACGACGGGUAGCCGGCCUGAGAGGGUGACCGGCCACACUGGGGACUGAGACACGGCCCAGACUCCUACGGGAGGCAGCAGUGGGGAAUAUUGCACAAUGGGCGCAAGCCUGAUGCAGCAACGCCGCGUGAGGGAUGACGGCCUUCGGGUUGUAACCUCUUUUAGUAGGGUAAGAAGCGAAAGUGACGGUACCUGCAGAAAAAG
rnacentral:rRNA from 1 species